UACAGAGGGUGCAAGCGUUAAUCGGAAUUAUUGGGCGUAAAGCGCAUGUAGGUGGUUUUGCAAGUUAGAGGUGAAAGCCCGGGGCUCAACCCCGGAAUUGCCUUUAAAACUGCAUCGCUAGAAUUGUGGAGAGGUAAGUGGAAUUCCGAGUGUAGAGGUGAAAUUCGUAGAUAUUCGGAAGAACACCAGUGGCGAAGGCGACUUACUGGACACAUAUUGACGCUGAGGUGCGAAAGCGUGGGGAGCAAACAGG
rnacentral:rRNA from 1 species